rnacentral:rRNA from 1 species
UACGUAGGGCGCAAGCGUUGUCCGGAAUUACUGGGCGUAAAGAGUGCGUAGGCGGUUCGGCAAGUUGGAAGUGAAAUCCCGGGGCUCAACCUCGGGAUUGCUUUCAAAACUGCCGAUCUAGAGUAUGGUAGGGGAUAGUGGAAUUCCUAGUGUAGGGGUGAAAUCCGUAGAUAUUAGGAGGAACACCAGAGGCGAAGGCGACUAUCUGGGCCAUUACUGACGCUAAGGUACGAAAGCGUGGGGAGCAAACAGG